rnacentral:rRNA from 1 species
GUGACCUCCGUGCCAUCGGCCUCGUUAAUACGGAGGUGGCUAGGGUUGUCCGGAUUUCUUGGGCGUAAAGAGCGUGUAGGCGGCCAGGUAGGUCUGCUGUGACAACUCGAGGCUCAACCUCGAGACGUCGGCGGAAACCAUCUGGCUAGAGUCCGGAAGAGGAGAGUGGAAUUCCUGGUGUAGCGGUGAAAUGCGCAGAUAUCAGGAAGAACACCCGUGGCGAAGGCGGCUCUCUGGGACGGUACUGACGCUGAGACGCGAAAGCGUGGGGAGCGAACAGGAUUAGAUACCCCGGUAGUC